UAAUUCAUGCCGUAUUCAGCGCGCAUGCUCCAAUUCUUUUUUCACUACGUCCAUUUUCUCAGAUGAAUCCGUCGGGUGCAGUUGGUGUGUAAUAAAAUCCAAAAUAAUCGAGCGAUUCUGAGGGCGAUCUGAGAUCUUUUAAUCUAUAAGAUGAGAGCUAAGUGGCGUAAGAAGAGGAUGCGCAGGCUAAAGCGCAAGAGGAGGAAGAUGCGUGCGAGGUCCAAGUAAACAAUCUCGUACGUGCAAACACCUAUGCACGUAAGCUCUCCGUGGGAAGAAUAGACUUGUGAUAGUUUCACUAACUUUUCCAGCUAUACCUUCAACUAUGACGAAAAUUCCAAAGAAGACUUGUUCAAUGGACGUGUUUUUCGCAUAGAGAGCAUUUUAUACAUGUAAAUCUUGGUUGGUUAAAUGCAGCAACUAUUCAAGAUAAA